AGUGGCGAACGGGUGAGUAAUGCAUCGGAACGUACCGUGUAGUGGGGGAUAACGUAGCGAAAGUUACGCUAAUACCGCAUACGCCCUGAGGGGGAAAGUGGGGGACCGCAAGGCCUCACGCUAUAUGAGCGGCCGAUGUCGGAUUAGCUAGUUGGUAGGGUAAAGGCCUACCAAGGCGACGAUCCGUAGCGGGUCUGAGAGGAUGAUCCGCCACACUGGGACUGAGACACGGCCCAGACUCCUACGGGAGGCAGCAGUGGGGAAUUUUGGACAAUGGGCGCAAGCCUGAUCCAGCCAUGCCGCGUGAGUGAAGAAGGCCUUCGGGUUGUAAAGCUCUUUCAGACGGAAAGAAAUCUCUCGGGAUAACACCCUGGGAGGAUGACGGUACCGUAAGAAGAAGCACCGGCUAACUACGUGCCAGCAGCCGCGGUAAUACGUAGGGUGCGAGCGUUAAUCGGAAUUACUGGGCGUAAAGCGUGCGCAGGCGGUGAUGUAAGACAGAUGUGAAAUCCCCGGGCUCAACCUGGGAACUGCGUUUGUGACUGCAUCACUCGAGUACGGCAGAGGGAGGUGGAAUUCCGCGUGUAGCAGUGAAAUGCGUAGAUAUGCGGAGGAACACCGAUGGCGAAGGCAGCCUCCUGGGCCAGUACUGACGCUCAUGCACGAAGCGUGGG
rnacentral:rRNA from 1 species